rnacentral:tRNA from 1 species
UCCCUCGUGGCGCAAUUGGAUAGCGCGUUAGACUGUUAUUAACUUAAUAGCCUAUCUAAAGGUUGGUGGUUCGAGCCCACCCGAGGGAG